rnacentral:tRNA from 1 species
UUGGCACAGUAGGCAGAGCAUCAGCCUUGCAAGCUGAAGGUCCCGAGUUGGAUCCUCGGA